rnacentral:misc_RNA from 1 species
GGGUUUCGAAAUAAUGGCGGCCUAAUCACUAGAAAUGGAGUUGGAAAGCGUCGGCAGCCACCAGUUGUUCUCCAGUCUUUAGAAUCUUCGCUUUUUUGCUGGAGUAACAAUUUAUAACGAAGGCAAAUCGAUACCGAAGGAAAGAUCUUGAAUAAUUUUUCAGGGGUAGAUGAAAAGGAAUUUUUGGUAGAGGGUUUCAUUUGUUAUCAUCAGGCAGAAAAAGAAGAAUAUAAAUGGAAGGAAAGUUAAGUAAUUUCAUAUGUAGAGAUCCCACUUUCCUCUCUGAAAUCUUACUUUCUCUCCGAUUUGGAGAGAAAAUACACAUAAGAAAAUAAACUCAACUUUCCUUCCCCCUAUUAUUUUCUCACUUUUAUC